AUGUCCCACUAAGAAAAAAAGUAUACAGUUCAUAGUUACUGAAACCAUUCCUGAAUUUAACUUUUCUGAUUCCUUUCAGAAGAUUUUGCAAAGAACUAGCAAAGUUGGGAUUGUUUGUUGUUUUUUUUCCCCUAAAGAAGAGUGGUGGAAGAAAAGAGUAUUUUGAGGUGCAGAGGAGCACAAUGAAGUGUCUGAGCUGGCCGGCAGGGGAGAAAUAAUGACACAGAAAAUCUUCUGUUGAAAAUGAGAACAUGAGAAGAUGAUUGACUCGACAGGAAGGAACAACUGAAGACCUGGAGAGAAAGGGGCAUCAGCAAGCACAGGGGGAGCUGUAGUGAACGGGCUGUGCUGUUCCUGUAGAUGCUCUGGAAAAGCUCCACUCUACCCUUUCAUUGCAUGCAGUGUUUUCCUCUGCUCUUCUUCAAGGACUUCCAAGAUCCCAGUGAAUGCCUCAUCAGAGGACACUACAUUUACAGAGGAAAGUGCUUAACAGCAGAAAUGCUAAGUUUCUCGUUAUUAAUAAUCUCAAGAGCCAGAACUCUUUUAUUUAUUUGAUAAUUUUAUUUAUUGAUUAUUAUUAUUAUCAUCAUCAUCGUCAUCAUUAUUAUCAUUAUUAUCAUUAUUAUUUUUUUUACUGUAUAGAGUGGCAGAAUAAUUUAGAUUGGAAUGGCCCUCUGGAGAUCGUUGGGUCACCUCCUCCUGCCAAAAAAACUCCCCUCAACUCCUCCCCCCCCCCCCCAACAAACAAAAACCAGACAAACCUGGGACUAACUUCAAAGCUGAGAUCAGGUCGUUCACCUCCUUGUCUAGUCGUUCUUACAGUCUCUGAGACGACUCCACAAUACCUAUUGGUCCCUCUUAUACUGUUUGUCUACGCUGCAAAGGCCUUUUUUUUUUUCCCCUUGUGUUUAAUUCCCAUUGCUGUACCUUAUGCUUAUUGCUUCUUUUGUUGUGCGCCACCGUGACGAGUCUGGCUCCAUCUUCUUGGCACUCACCCUUUAUGUAGCUGAAGACAGCAGUUUAAUGCUCCCCCUCUUAAUCUUACCUUAGAACUGAACAAAUCAUUUUUCAGCAUGUCCGUCACAUGCUCCAGCUACUAAUCAUCUUGGUAGUGCUCCACUGGGCUCACCUCGGCACGCAUACUGCAUUUUGUGCUGUGGAGACCCAACCUGGAGGCAGCUCUGCAGACGCAGUCUCAGAAGUGCCGUAGCAGGAGACGCUCUGUUCCCAAACCCCUGCCCGCAUUCUUACUGAUGUGGCCCGGUGUGGGGUUGGCUUUCAGCACUGCCAGGGCCCAUUACUGACUGGCGUUGAGCUUGUCCACUUUUUUUUCUGCAAAGCUGCCUUUUUGCCAGAUGGCACCCAGCCUGACCAAUGACUUGGGGUUACGUCUCCCACCCAGCUGUAGGACCCUGCCUUUGUCUUUGUCAAACAUAACAGGGUUUCUGUCAGAGCAGCACGCAGCUCUUAACAACCCCUGGCUGGACCUCCUCCCCCUGAGCCCUGCAGUCCAGCUGAUUUUUCCACCCGCCUCACAGUUCACUCAUGGCAUCCAAAUCUGCAGUUUGCUUGUAAGAAUCACAGAAUCAUUAAGGUUGGGAAAGCCCUCCAAGAUCACCUGGUCCAACCACCCAUGUCACCCACUAAACCAUGUCCCUGAGCACCACGUCCAACCUUUCCUUGAACACCCCCAGGGAUGGUGACUCCACCACCUCCCUGGGCAACCCGUCCCAGUGCCUGACUGCUCUUUCUGAGAAGAAAUGUCUCCUCAUUUCCAGCCUGAACCUCCCCUGGCACAACUUGAGGCCAUUCCCUCUAGUCCUGUCACUGGUUACCUGUGAGAAGAGGCCGACCCCCAGCUCCCCACACCUUCCUUAGUAGUGGGAUGGUAGUUUUAUAAAAUAAUGCCAUCUAGUUUGUUACACAAUUAGCAACCUUUUGAGUAACGAUGUUCAGACUUGUUAGAGUAGACAGUUUCUCUGCCUUACCCUAUGCUGUCCCAGGUACAAAGCAGAUAAAUUUAUUGAAACUCUACAAUAUGUCUCUAGGGAGAGGCUUAGGAAAAAAAUAUCUAAUUGAAUAUUUACCCAAGAAAGAUAUAUUAUUAGAGUGAAAAAUAGAAUGAGAUGGCCUUGGGUGUUACCAGCUCUGAGUGGGAGAUAUAGCUACUGAAAAAGUUGGUUAAUGAAUAACACAGACCAGGCAAUGAAGAGGGUUUGGAAUUAGGAAAAUGCCCUAAGGAGGUCCUGUGGUGCAUGUCUUCAAAAAUGACCCUACUGUGUGAGUCCGUGAGAGAGGAGGUGGAUCACCACCAUCGCUUCCUUCACAUUUGGAUCACAGGACAGGAGGGCUGUAGCCCAGCAUCCUGCUCCAACGCAGCAUUUCCCUUGGGAAGUGUCUAUGCUCAGAGCGUGACGCUGUACGGGCCUUGGAUGCACUCUGCAAAACAACACGAGUGAAAACCAGCUCUCUGCAUCUUCUUGGCGUCUCCUCAAUAACGAAGAAGGAAGCCUGAUGUGUUGGUGUUACUGAUCAGGCUGUAAGGUCCAAAUACAAACCCUAAAGGGAUUAACAAGGAAGGAGUAACUCUAGGCAAGGUCACAAACAAACAAAAAAAGCAAAACAACAAAAAUAACAACAACAAAACAACCAAACAAUUGACUAUGGGUCAAAAUAAGAGAGAACUGAAGGAAAGUGAAAGCAAAUAGCUGCAAUUUAAGGGCGGAGCUGACCAGAAGGGCAAGUUCUGUGCAAAUGCUGAGAGGUUCUUAAGACCGAUGACUAUGGGCCUAUACAUUCUGCAUCGGUGGCAGGGAAGGCUGAAGAGUUGAGCCUGAGCAAUCCUUUUCAAGCAACCUGUGAGCUCUCGUGUGACACAACACACCAAAACACUGGGAAGGAUGAUGGUUUCUCUUCUGCAGCGACACUUUGUCACCAUUCCCUCCUCUGGCUUGGUAGAGGCCAGGCUGGAAACCGAGUGCUACAGCCCUGGGACUUGCAGGGUUAUUCCUCAGGCCAUUUGUUAUAUUUACACCAACAGUUUUUUUACCUGUAGAGUUCUGUAAAUAUACUUUGUUCGUUCCAAGCAGCUUCUCAGAAAAACUGGUCUCAUGUGGUGUCACAUUAACCUCCUUAAGUGCUCCACAUUAACCAAACCUAACUUCAGAGCCAAAUCUUUCAGGUCUGGGGAAACGCCAAAGGGGCUGCUGAACAUUCUGCACCACCUGGAAUCCCUCCUGUUGUCUUUACCCUCAAAGUCAAUCUCUCCUGAUCCAUUUCUGGCAAGCUUCCCUUAAAAAGGAGGCAUUUCCUGAAAGCUUCCCUUCUGUGGGGACAGCUGAGUGCAGACUGGAUGUUCAUAUUUCUGCAGGCCAGCAGAAUAAACAAAAACACUCACACACAAAGCAAUCCAGCCCAUGUCACUGGUGACGGAUUUUAAACUGAAACGAGAGCACGCUCACCAUCUACCACAGCUUCUAUGGUUGAAGGGCAAAUGAGGACCCGCUGCUAAGGUAUCAGUUUACCUUCAGCUUAGGAAAUUAUGUUUCAAAAGAGGUCUGUACCUGGUUGGAGUAGUAGCUUUCAAGAGGUAUUCGAGAGGAAACACAGCAUUAAAAAUUGCAUGAAACAAACACUGUGUUCAAAAAGUCUGACUGUGUUGUACAAAUUGCCUCCAAGUAUUUCUGGAAUCGGUACUUGGCUUGGCUUCCGAUUGUGAAUUCUGACAGAUUUGGAUGAGUAAAACAUACCGGUUGCAGACAGCAAUGACUGUCUUCUAAAAUCAAUAUUUCUCUGGUAAAAACAGAAGCAUAAGAACUGGAGUGCAAUGAGUAACAAAACUUAUUCAGUGAUCUGCUUACCCUCUGAAACUGGUGGCAUUUAAAGCACGUUAGAUAAUACAAGAGAGUGCUGCUGCAAGCAAAACACUUGUUGCAUAACCAAAAAAGGGGUGUGGGGAACCAACUCCAAACAGAGAACAGCUUGUGAGCCAGUGCAACAAAGCUGCAAGUGCUAAUAAACGACUUGGUCACGUUUGGGAAAUAAUUUUAGAGGUCCUUGACCACUGCUGGCCAUGGAUGAUGAUGGUGAGCAACUAGUAACUAACGGCUGCAAUAUUCCAUUUUCUUGGUUAUAGCCUUCAUUUCUAAUGCCUGCAAGAAAUAUCAAAUCAUCUUGUGAACAGAACGCGUCUCUUCAGCGUGGGGACCACUCCCUGUCAGAUGACACUUCAGUAUCUACUGCUACUAAAUGACGUCUGGUUUCUCUACAGCGUACCGAAAAUGAUAAAUUCAAAAAAAAUCAAAAUACAAGCAGCUCAGACACACACUGGGGGCAGCAAAAAGGAAGUUUAAAAUCAGCUUUUGCCACAUGCAAGAACAUGCAAUAUGUUACAGAAAAAGCUGUUCACCUAGAAGGUAAAAUUUUCUUCCUAUUUUUAUUUCCUGUACUGCAGGACAGCUUGCUAUCUCCUCUGAGUGUAUGCAUAACACAUGCCCCCCCUCCACCCCCCUAAACCCAAAACAUUUUGCAGUUCAAUUUCUUGCUUUAAAGAUCAUCCAUAAUUGUGUCUCUUCCCUACAGUACCUCCAAGACUGAGUUUCCAGGUACUUCAUUAAAGAAACAUAAAGCGUACAUCUUCUCCAGACCUGCAGAAGAGGUUUGCUGUGAAAAAAACCUGCAACCCUCUCUCUCUGCAGAGCUGACAAGUCAAUGAACAAUUUCAGUCACAUCUGAUCUGUAAUUGGAAUGGGCUUUUACACAAAAAGAGAAUCUUAGUGCCUAGAGGUAAAAGUUGCAUUUUUAGAAUUAACAAUGAUAAAAACAAAAAGACUGGUUUUAUUUUUACACUGCCCAUUGAAGUCCGAAUUCCUACAUCUAGCAGCUCUGGCAAAGUUAAUUCUUACACUGAUAAAGAGUAAGAAAAUGCAAUCAGCUAAGCAAAAGAAUUUUAAAACGAUUGAUCAGAACAAAGACCUCAGUGGCUGAUCAUCACAUAUACAGAGAUAUUUUAGACACGAAUGCCAAAACCAAUCCUAGAGCAAUUCAGCCCUGUACAGGGGACUGGGCAGACCUUGUGAACUAGGAAUUCUCAGUGCUGGCCGCUGCACACGCUGUUUCAGUCUCUGGGAAGAAAAAGGGCAGUCUUGCAAUACAUACCCCUCUUGCUUUGCCAAGAUAAAUAAUGACAAAACCCAUUUGUUUCUUACAAACAUAUAAAUUAUUUUAUUUACAAAGCCAUGUUACAAAAAAAAAAUAAUAAUAAUAAAGCAAAAAAAAAAUACAAUCGCUCACUAGAGAAUAUCUCCAGGCCCGGUGUUGAACCAUGGCAGUAUCAAUCAGAUACAUGUUUGUUCUGUUUUUCCUUUUUUAAACUGUAAGCCAUAGAAUUUACUAUUUACACCUACUUUAGACAUUUAUUCUGCUUACAAUUAUCACAAGCAUGGAAUGAAUUCUAUUUGAUACUGCUAAUACAUAAAGGUGCAGGACAAAGAAUGAAAAUACUUAGUGUUACAAAAUAUGGAUUGUAGAAAAGAAAUUGGCUGUACAAGUAUGGCAUUUUUUUUUCUUAGAAUGAUUGGACAUGCUUUCUUCAAAAGUCUUCUGGAAAAGGUUCUAAAAUCUGUAGUAGGAAAGCACAAUAUAGCAGGUGCAAAUUCAUUUCUGUGCAACAACAGUUAUUUAAUAUACCCCAUGACUGACCAGCUAUGCAAAACCCACAGAGUUUUGUUAAAGUGCCAUGGGUCAACAGCAUAACAAAAUAUAAGGUGUAAAUAGAAAAAUUUCUUUUUUUCUUCUUUUUUUUUAAAACAAUAGUUCACUGAGAAUCAGCAAUAAUAGAAUAUGCUGUAUAAACUAUUCUCUACAAAGGUCGAUCAGCACUAUUUACAAUUGUUACAUCGAUACAAAAGAAGGCAUACAAGUUAUCCAAGUCGCUUUUUAUGGCUGACGGGCCUAUGCAUUGCGUAUGUGUAACAACCAAAGCUUCUGAGCCUCUAUUGCUGGAAACAAAUCACAAGAUUUUCAGGCAAAUGGGGAAGAAAAAGAACUACCGAGUGAAUGCUACACUAAUAAUGCAUUAUAGGCUGGUCCAGUUUAUAUCCAUUUAUUCAAAUGUUUACUUCCAUUUUGCUUUUCAGGCUGAAUUUUUUGACACUUGUAAUUAAAUAAUGAUUCUUUGAUGAUGAAAGGCUGUGGGAUUUUACUUGGUGCUGAACGUUCCUGAAAUGCUGUCAGGUGUAAGCCAGUUGACACAAAAAAAUAAAGCAGCAUUCAAAGGACAGGCUCCAUAUUCCACCUUUCCAA